rnacentral:rRNA from 1 species
AUGACAACAAGCGCCAAGUGCAGGGUGCUGACAUCGAGAUCACUACGGAUUGCCAACAAUCAGCCCCAGUACUGGAAAUGGAUUUCUCCUCCAGAUUCGUCUUCCAGGUUUGCCGAAUGUGCGGAGCUCCUGAGUGUGUACUUUCUCGCCGUCAUCGGAGAGAUCCCGCCGAGAGACCUCUCCGCCGGCACAAGCUAUGCAGUUUACCUUGUGUACAAGCUGGCGAGAACCACCUAUGGCCUGAGGGGCUCCGUGCAGACAUCGUCGCUCAGGCUCCACGGCGAGAGGAUUGUCCCCGGCAGCACCCGCGGGGUCAGCCUCCACCCCGAAGGGCGUGGGUCAGCCAAUGAUAUUACCUACCCCGACGCGAGGGGCGACGGCUGGCUGGAGCUCAGGUUGGCCGAGUUCGAAAACGACGACGAGAUGCUCACGGAGAGGGGGGUGAUCGUGGAUAUCCGUGAGGAGAACGACAGCGUCCAGAAGAAAGGCCUCAUCAUUGGGGGCAUGGAGUUUAGGAGCAACUAG